rnacentral:rRNA from 1 species
UAACACAUGCAAGUCGAACGAAGUAGCAAUACUUAGUGGCGAACGGGUGAGUAUAGUGUGGGUAUCUGCCCAUUGGUUUGGAAUAACACGGGGAAACUUGUGCUAAUACCGGAUAAGCCUUCACAGGGGGAGCUUUAGCGCCGAUGGAUGAGCCCGCACUUGAUUAGCUAGUUGGUAAGGUAAUGGCUUACCAAGGCUACGAUCAAUAGCUGAUCUGAGAGGAUGAUCAGCCACAUUGGGACUGAGACACGGCCCAAACUCCUACGGGAGGCAGCAGUGGGGAAUCUUGCACAAUGGGGGAAACCCUGAUGCAGCGAUGCCGCGUGAGUGAAGAAGGCCUUUGGGUUGUAAAGCUCUUUCGUCGGGGAAGAAAAUGACUGUACCCGAAUAAGAAGGUCCGGCUAACUUCGUGCCAGCAGCCGCGGUAAUACGAAGGGACCUAGCGUAGUUCGGAAUUACUGGGCUUAAAGAGCUCGUAGGUGGUUAGAAAAGUUAGUGGUGAAAUCCCAAGGCUUAACCUUGGAACUGCCACUAAAACUUUUUAACUAGAGUAUGAUAGAGGUAAGCGGAAUUUCUAGUGUAGAGGUGAAAUUCGUAGAUAAUAGAAAGAACACCAAUUGCGAAGGCAGCUUUCUGGAUCAUUACUGACACUGAGGAGCGAAAGCAUGGGUAGCGAAGAGGAUUAGAUACCCUCGUAGUCCAUGCCGUAAACGAUGUGUGCUAGACGUUGGAAAUUUAUUUUUCAGUGUCGCAGCAAAAGCGUUAAGCACACCGCCUAGGGAGUACGACCGCAAGGUUAAAACUCAAAUGAAUUGACGGGGACCCGCACAAGUAGUGGAGCAUGUGGUUUAAUUCGAAGAUACGCGCAGAACCUUACCAACACUUGACAUGUUCGUCGCGACUCUAAGAAAUUAGAGUUUUCGGUUCGGCCGGACGAAACACAGGUGCUGCAUGGCUGUCGUCAGCUCGUGUCGUGAGAUGUUGGGUUAAGUCCCGCAACGAGCGCAACCCUUACUUUUAGUUGCUACCAUUUAGUUGGGCACUCUAAAAGAACUGCCAGUGAUAAGCUGGAGGAAGGUGGGGAUGACGUCAAGUCCUCAUGGCCCUUACGUGUUGGGCUACACACGUGCUACAAUGGUACUCACAAUGGGAAGCAAAGAGGCGACUCUAAGCAAAUCCCAAAAAGGUACCUCAGUUCGGAUUGUACUCUGCAACUCGAGUACAUGACGCUGGAAUUACUAGUAAUCGUGGAUCAGCGCGCCACGGUGAAUACGUUCCCGGGUCUUGUACACACCGCCCGUCACACCAUGGAAGUUGGUUACACCUUAAGGCAAAGCAUAAAACCUUUGACUACGGUACGAUCAGCGACUGGGGUG